CGGAGGGUGCGAGCGUUGUCCGGAAUCACUGGGCGUAAAGGGCGCGUAGGCGGCGCGGUAAGCGGGCGGUGAAAGCCCGGGGCUCAACCCCGGGUCGGCCGUGCGGACUGCCGCGCUGGAGCACUGUAGAGGCGGGCGGAAUUCCGGGUGUAGCGGUGGAAUGCGUAGAGAUCCGGAAGAACACCGGUGGCGAAGGCGGCCCGCUGGGCAGUGGCUGACGCUGAGGCGCGACAGCGUGGGGAGCAAACAGGAUUAGAUACCCUGGUAGUCCACGCCGUAAACGAUGGGCACUAGGUGCCUGGGGGAGCGACCCCCCGGGUGCCGGCGCUAACGCAUUAAGUGCCCCGCCUGGGGAGUACGGCCGCAAGGCUG
rnacentral:rRNA from 1 species